UGUACUAGAAUACUAUCGAUAGCAAAUGAGCACCGUUGCCUCUCAUUUGUUUUCGAUGAUGGAGCCUUCAAAUUGACGAUUGGCACCGUUGAACAUGAUCUAUACCACUUGAAGUGUUUAGAAAUCGAAUUUCAUACAUUUUCGAUAUUGUUUGCUUAUCCAUCGAGCGGAUACAAAAAAUGAACGGAGGAAAAUAAAUAUUUUUUAAAAAAUGAUGAUAGGAGUCUUGUAAUUAUGAUCAAGAGUAUAGAUCUUGUAAUUAUGAUCCUUUUUAAAGCUUGAUUUUGGUCUAGUAAUUAGUUCACACUCCCAUAAAAACGAAUUCUAGUGGUUGAUGUUGUAAUUUGAAUAAUUACACAUGAAUGGUGGUGCAUCUAUGGAUAGGCUCCCGAAUCAGCAGAUUCCAUUGCACUAAGAGGGUCCCAUAUUGUUUAGGACAAGUACAAUCUAGACCCCACGAAUGUGGACACAAACAUGGAACACGAUAUAAUUCAGAUACGAUAAUUCAACAACUUUUAAAAAAUUAGAACACAAACACGACAAUAGAAAUACAAACGAGGCGGAUCCGGGAGCGGGAGGGUUUCCCCACCUCCCGCUUCAUUUCUUGUUGGGGCAAAGUGGAUUUAGGACGAUUUUUUUUUUUUCUUCUUUUUGCUCCCACUUACUGUCCCAUUCGAGGCGGAUCAGGACAGGAGUGAAUUUUUGACGAAUUUUUGACUGAUUAGAACGGAUCGAAGAAAGAAAAGGGUCUUCUGCCUCCUGCUCCAUUUAUUUGGCGGAUCGGGACGAAUUCGGGACAUGUUAUAUUUUUCUAUAUUUUUUAUUCCCACUUACCACUCUAUUUGGCACGGAUCAGGCGGGAGCUUCACCAAUUCAGAUCCAUUUGCAUCCCUACACGGUAUGUAUACUGCUAAUAAAAUAUAAUAUUAUUAAUAUAAUAAUAUAUAUUUACUAUGAAUUUAAUUAAUAUACUUUUAGGAGGACGGAGGUCAUAAUAGUAAUUUCGAAUCGAUGAUCGGAACUGUUAAAGUUGACUUAGAAUAUUUAAGGUGUCUAGAAACUAAAUUUAUGAAUUUUAAAAAUUAUUAAUGUAGUGAUCAAAUGAUCACAAAAUCGAUAGUUUUUUACGGCCUAUAUGAACUGUUUGCUUGUUUAACGGUGCAGAACAAUCCAAACAGUUUGAAUUUUUGACAGAAAAUUUUUUACACUAUUUAGACAACGUUUGAUAAUUUUUUACACUAUUACCGACCGUCCCUAGAGCAAGUGGCAAAGAGCUGGGUGGUUGGUACCCGAGGUCCCAAGUUCGAAUCCUAGUUGAUUCACAUUUCUAGCUAAGUUUAUUUCUAAAUGAAAUAAACGAAGCGGGUAGCGUGCUACCUAUUUCUCAAAAAAAAACUCCGAUUAUGAAUUGAAAAAAUCUAACAUCUAUUUUCACAAGGUUAUUCGUUUUUUGACCGUUCAUUUUUCGAUUCUUCAAUCAACAUGAUAACGAAUUUUUAAAUUUAUAAAAUUUAGUUUCUAAACGUUAUAAUUACUCUAAAGCUACUUUAACAGUUCUGAUCAUCAAUCCAGAAUUUCUUUUAUCUAAAACGACUUAAGAGAACGUAGGCUUUUGUCCUCCUAAGAGGAUAAUAACUGGACUCUAUUUAUUAUAUAUAAAAUGGUAGUUUUGCUAAAAUGCAUUUUGCAUACAAAAAUAAUAAUAAUAAAAUUUUUAUUGAUUAUUCAUAUAUUUUAAGAAAAAAAAAUUCUCCACUAUAUAUAAUUUAUUUAU
rnacentral:lncRNA from 1 species